AAAGUCGUAACAAGGUUUCCGUAGGUGAACCUGCGGAAGGAUCAUUAUUGAAUUUUUAAAAGGAUGUGCUGGCUUCCGCCCAAGGGGGCACGUGCACUCCUAACAAAACUCGAUGUCCACCUGUGCACCUUCGGUAGGCAAAUGGAAAGACUUUUUACAGUCUUCUGUUUUGUCUAUGUUCUCUUUAUACCAAACACCUGACUUCUUUGAAUGUUCACUAUACAAUAGAAUGCUAUUGUCGCACAACUUUCAACAAUGGAUCUCUUGGUUCUC
rnacentral:misc_RNA from 1 species